AGAGUUUGAUUCUGGCUCAGAACGAACGCUGGCGGCGUGGAUAAGACAUGCAAGUCGAACGAGAGAAUUGCUAGCUUGCUAAUAAUUCUCUAGUGGCGCACGGGUGAGUAACACGUGAGUAACCUGCCCCCGAGAGCGGGAUAGCCCUGGGAAACUGGGAUUAAUACCGCAUAGAAUCGCAAGAUUAAAGCAGCAAUGCGCUUGGGGAUGGGCUCGCGGCCUAUUAGUUAGUUGGUGAGGUAACGGCUCACCAAGGCGAUGACGGGUAGCCGGUCUGAGAGGAUGUCCGGCCACACUGGAACUGAGACACGGUCCAGACACCUACGGGUGGCAGCAGUCGAGAAUCAUUCACAAUGGGGGAAACCCUGAUGGUGCGACGCCGCGUGGGGGAAUGAAGGUCUUCGGAUUGUAAACCCCUGUCAUGUGGGAGCAAAUUAAAAAGAUAGUACCACAAGAGGAAGAGACGGCUAACUCUGUGCCAGCAGCCGCGGUAAUACAGAGGUCUCAAGCGUUGUUCGGAAUCACUGGGCGUAAAGCGUGCGUAGGCUGUUUCGUAAGUCGUGUGUGAAAGGCGCGGGCUCAACCCGCGGACGGCACAUGAUACUGCGAGACUAGAGUAAUGGAGGGGGAACCGGAAUUCUCGGUGUAGCAGUGAAAUGCGUAGAUAUCGAGAGGAACACUCGUGGCGAAGGCGGGUUCCUGGACAUUAACUGACGCUGAGGCACGAAGGCCAGGGGAGCGAAAGGGAUUAGAUACCCCUGUAGUCCUGGCAGUAAACGGUGCACGCUUGGUGUGCGGGGAAUCGACCCCCUGCGUGCCGGAGCUAACGCGUUAAGCGUGCCGCCUGGGGAGUACGGUCGCAAGAUUAAAACUCAAAGAAAUUGACGGGGACCCGCACAAGCGGUGGAGUAUGUGGCUUAAUUCGAUGCAACGCGAAGAACCUUACCUGGGCUUGACAUGUAAUGAACAACAUGUGAAAGCAUGCGACUCUUCGGAGGCGUUACACAGGUGCUGCAUGGCCGUCGUCAGCUCGUGUCGUGAGAUGUUUGGUUAAGUCCCGCAACGAGCGCAACCCCUGUGAUUAGUUGCCAACAGGUUAAGCUG
rnacentral:rRNA from 1 species